rnacentral:rRNA from 1 species
AUUGCCCUAGUAACGGCGAGUGAAGCGGCAACAGCUCAAAUUUGAAAUCUGGCGUCUUUGGCGUCCGAGUUGUAAUUUGCAGAGGGCGCUUUGGCAUUGGCAGCGGUCCAAGUUCCUUGGAACAGGACGUCACAGAGGGUGAGAAUCCCGUACGUGGUCGCUAGCCUUUACCGUGUAAAGCCCCUUCGACGAGUCGAGUUGUUUGGGAAUGCAGCUCUAAAUGGGAGGUAAAUUUCUUCUAAAGCUAAAUACUGGCCAGAGACCGAUAGCGCACAAGUAGAGUGAUCGAAAGAUGAAAAGCACUUUGGAAAGAGAGUUAAAAAGCACGUGAAAUUGUUGAAAGGGAAGCGCUUGCAGCCAGACUUGCCUGUAGUUGCUCAUCCGGGUUUUUACCCGGUGCACUCUUCUAUAGGCAGGCCAGCAUCAGUUUGGGCGGUUGGAUAAAGGUCUCUGUCAUGUACCUCCUUUCGGGGAGAACUUAUAGGGGAGACGACAUGCAACCAGCCUGGACUGAGGUCCGCGCAUCUGCUAGGAUGCUGGCGUAAUGGCUGUAAGCGGCCCGUCUUGAAACACGGACCAAGGAGUCUAACAUCUAUGCGAGUGUUUGGGUGUCAAGCCCGAGCGCGUAAUGAAAGUGAACGGAGGUGGGAACCUUUCGGGGUGCACCAUCGACCGAUCCUGAUGUCUUCGGAUGGAUUUGAGUAAGAGCAUAGCUGUUGGGACCCGAAAGAUGGUGAACUAUGCUUGAAUAGGGUGAAGCCAGAGGAAACUCUGGUGGAGGCUCGCAGCGGUUCUGACGUGCAAAUCGAUCGUCAAAUUUGGGCAUAGGGGCGAAAG